rnacentral:lncRNA from 1 species
GACUGUCCGUUACUUGACUUUCUAUAUAUAUAUAUGUAUAUAUGUAUAUAUAUAUAUAUAUGUAUAUAUUUAUAUAUAUACACAUAUAUAUAUAUACAUAUAUAUAUAUACACACAUAUAUAUAUACAUAUAUUUUUUUUUUCUUUUUUUUUCUUUUUUUUUUAAGGCAGCGUCGCAUCGCCUCAACGACGUCGCUAUGGCGAUGCGACGUUGC